GUGAAUUUGGUUGGAGAUUUGGAGAAUUUGGGGGUGAACCUGAGCAUUUUGGGAGGAGUUACGUCGAUUUUGAUCUGAAAAUAUAUGCUUUGUGAAGACUGUGCUGGUUACUGAGGAUGAGAUGAAAUGUCUGGAAUGGUGGAAGGUCUCCAGAAGACGACUUCCUACCACCGGUCCUGUUAGAAUUGCUGA